rnacentral:misc_RNA from 1 species
GUGAAUCAUCGAAUCUUUGAACGCAUCUUGCGCCCUUUGGUAUUCCGAAGGGCAUGCCUGUUUGAGUGUCAUUAAAUUCUCAACUUCAAAACUUGUUUUUGAUAGCUUGGAUGUUGGAGGCUUGCAGGCGAUUUUUCUAUUGUCAGCUCCUCUCAAAUGCAUUAGCAGGACUUUAAAAAGGAUCGGCUUUGGUUUGAUAAUCCUAUCUAUGCCAUCGCUGAUACAUUGUAGUUCGGCUUAUAAUCGUCCUUUGGACUGUCUCGCAAGAGGCAUUAUUUAAACUUGACCUCAAAUCAGGUAGGACUACCCGCUGAACUUAAGCAUAUCAAUAAGCGGAGGA